UACGUAGGUGGCAAGCGUUGUCCGGAUUUGCUGGGCGUAAAGAGCGCGCAGGCGGCUAUCCAAGUCAGUGGUGAAAGCCCGGAGCUCAACUCCGGAACUGCCAUUGAAACUGUUUAGCUUGAGGACGAGAGAGGUGAGUGGAAUUCCCAGUGUAGAGGUGAAAUUCGUAGAUAUUGGGAAGAACACCGGUGGCGAAGGCGGCUCACUGGCUCGUAUCUGACGCUCAGGCGCGAUAGCGUGGGGAUCAAACAGG
rnacentral:rRNA from 1 species